rnacentral:rRNA from 1 species
UGCCAGCCGCCGCGGUAAUACGGAGGGUGCAAGCGUUAAUCGGAAUUACUGGGCGUAAAGGGCGCGUAGGCGGCACAGUCAGUCGGGUGUGAAAGCCCAGGCUUAACCUGGGAAUUGCAUCCGAUACUGCUGAGCUCGAGUGUGGUAGAGGAAAGCGGAAUUCCCGGUGUAGCGGUGAAAUGCGUAGAUAUCGGGAGGAACAUCAGUGGCGAAGGCGGCUUUCUGGACCAACACUGACGCUGAGGCGCGAAAGCGUGGGGAGCAAACAGGAUUAGAUA